GACGAACGCUGGCGGCGUGCCUAAUACAUGCAAGUAGAACGCUGAAGGAGGAGCUUGCUCUUCUGGAUGAGUUGCGAACGGGUGAGUAACGCGUAGGUAACCUGCCUGGUAGCGGGGGAUAACUAUUGGAAACGAUAGCUAAUACCGCAUAACAGUAGAUGUUGCAUGACAUUUACUUAAAAGGUGCAAUUGCAUCACUACCAGAUGGACCUGCGUUGUAUUAGCUAGUUGGUGGGGUAACGGCUCACCAAGGCGACGAUACAUAGCCGACCUGAGAGGGUGAUCGGCCACACUGGGACUGAGACACGGCCCAGACUCAUACGGGAGGCAGCAGUAGGGAAUCUUCGGCAAUGGACGGAAGUCUGACCGAGCAACGCCGCGUGAGUGAAGAAGGUUUUCGGAUCGUAAAGCUCUGUUGUAAGAGAAGAACGAGUGUGAGAGUGGAAAGUUCACACUGUGACGGUAUCUUACCAGAAAGGGACGGCUAACUACGUG
rnacentral:rRNA from 1 species